UUGGUGCGUUGGCCGGGAAAGGAGAUCCUCCACCCAGGGACCACCGACCACCCACUGGGAGGUAAGCCGGCCGGCGUCUGUCUGUCUGUCUGAUUUUGUCUCGUUCUGCCUUAUUCUGUCUGUUCUGUGAGCGCUCAGCCAGGUCUGUUCUGUGAGCGCUCAGCCAGGUUCUGUGAGCGCUCAGCCAGGUUGUUUGGAAUUUGGGCGGGACGAAGAAGGAGCUGACGAGCUCGGACUUCUCGCCCCGCAGCCCUGGAAGACGUUCCAAGGGUGUUGGGGCCCGACUUUUCGGGGCCCAAUCUGGGAGAGGAGAAAGAUCCGGACUAACGGCACUCUGUCUGUAUUUUUGGCUUUCAGAGGGCCCCGGACCUUUGCCACCUCCAUCUGACUUUUUGCUUUCAGUUUGGUACCAAAGCCGUGCAGCACGCCUGUCUGUUGUUUGUUUGACUGUUGGUGUUGUUUGUUUUCUCUGUGUUCUAAUCUUCCUUAGAACUAACAUGGGACAGUCCCUAACAACGCCCCUAAGUCUCACUCUUGAUCAUUAGAAAGACGUCCACGACCGGGCACACAACCAGUCCGUCGAGGUAAAAAAAAAAAGGAAAAUGACAGACUCUCUACACAUCCGAGUGGCCCACUUUCGGAGCGGGAU
ensembl:lncRNA